rnacentral:rRNA from 1 species
UGGGGAAUAUUGCACAAUGGGGGAAACCAUGAUGCAGCGACGCCGCGUGAGCGAAGAAGGUUUUCGAAUCGUAAAGCUCUGUCCUAUGGGAAGAUAAUGACGGUACCAUAGGAGGAAGCCCCGGCUAACUACGUGCCAGCAGCCGCGGUAAUACGUAGGGAGCAAGCGUUGUCCGGAAUCACUGGGCGUAAAGGGUUCGCAGGCGGAAAUGCAAGUCAGUUGUGAAAGGCAGAGGCUCAACCUCUGUAAGCAAUUGAAACUGUAUUUCUUGAGAUGUGGAGAGGCAAGUGGAAUUCCUAGUGUAGCGGUGAAAUGCGUAGAUAUUAGGAAGAAUACCGGUGGCGAAGGCGACUUGCUGGACACAAACUGACGCUGAGGAACGAAAGCGUGGGUAGCAAACAGG